rnacentral:rRNA from 1 species
GACGAACGCUGGCGGCGUGCUUAACACAUGCAAGUCGAACGGUGAAAGCGGAGCUUGCUCCGCUGGAUCAGUGGCGAACGGGUGAGUAACACGUGGGCAACCUGCCCCUCACUUCGGGAUAACUCCGGGAAACCGGGGCUAAUACCGGAUAUGACCUCCUUGGGCAUCCUUGGAGGUGGAAAGUUUUUCGGUGAGGGAUGGGCCCGCGGCCUAUCAGCUAGUUGGUGAGGUAGUGGCUCACAAAGGCGACGACGGGUAGCCGGCCUGAGAGGGCGACCGGCCACACUGGGACUGAGACACGGCCCAGACUCCUACGGGAGGCAGCAGUGGGGAAUAUUGCGCAAUGGGCGAAAGCCUGACGCAGCAACGCCGCGUGCGGGAUGACGGCCUUCGGGUUGUAAACCGCUUUCAGCAGGGAAGAAGCCGCAAGGUGACGGUACCUGCAGAAGAAGCACCGGCUAACUACGUGCCAGCCGCCGCAGUAA